GUUUGCACGUGGCUCUAGACCUGAGACCAAAGGUGAGGGAUGGCAGACGGGGACUCCUGUAAAGCCAACAUUCUUCUUUAGAAGUAAAGUGUGUAACAGGUGAUAAGCCAGGCCCAAAGGAGAGAAGUCACUGGAAGAUGAGGAUACUGGAACGAAAGAAAGUAUAUUUAAGCACUUACUAGCAACGUGUUUUUCAGUUAAGGAAGAAGUGCCUCCGAGCAGGUCCGGAAACCAUAGUGGAUUUCUAAGGAAGUGGAAACCGCUCCUCCAAGAUGCCCUUAGCAGCAGCUGAAGCAUUUGCACGGGCCUUCGCUCGCCUCGGGCGCAACGCACAAGCCGGGACAAACAGGACUCAGCGGUCCUUACUGCAGCUCCGUGAGACAGGCAGUCUCAAUCCCGUGUCACACACCCAGCCACGGAGACACAGCACCUAAGCCCCCGGCUGGAAACCACAAAGGGAUGCAAGGAAGGUUUGCCUCUAAACCCCCAGCUUGUUCUCUUUCCCCAGUUUUGAUGACUAAGCUCGGAAGCAGUGUCAGCAUGAGGCAGUUCGGCGGUAGAGCAUGCACCCUGCUUAUUUCACAGGGCUGUGGUCAGGAUACAGAGCUUACACGUGUGAAAGCAUUUUGAGGACCGUGCGAUGCUAUCCGAGUAAAAAGAAGCAUGAUUACUGUGAUCAUUGGGUCAUUUCAUUUUCCAACUCUGUCGAUGGGUUCUUAGUGUACAUCACGUAUGCAGUCACUAGGGGGAGGCAACAGACAAUGCAUAUAAGCGGACUUCGUCUUGGAAGCAAAGUGGAUCUUUGUUUCCACAAAGGCAUCCUAAACUCCUAUGAAUGGUUUUGAAUAGUGGAUAUUGCCCCCCAAAAUGAAUGGACGAUAUUAAAGGAUCUCACAAAGAAGAGGGAAAAUCAUCAAGAAAUGGCAAUUUGAAGGGCAACCUGUGUUAUUAGCUGGUGUUUCCCUUUGAGACGAUUGUGGGAGAGCCACAGCCUUUGAAGGCAGAGGCCAUUUCUGUUUUUGUUGGACAAGUGCUUUUAUAGUACUGGUUUGGGCACUCUGGGCCCCCCAGCACUCCUGAUGAAGACAGGUGAUCCUGCCUCCCUGGCUCACCUUUUAAUGGAGGGAGCAGCCAUUUUGCAGCCAGCCACCUACUCUAGAAAGGGUACUGGGCAGGACACAAACCAGCUGCAGUUUCUUUACCUGGAAAAAUGGGAAUGGGAUGAAGCUGAGUAAAGGAGGACAGCACAUGGCAAAAGAGCCUGGAGAUGUCGUGUGUGGCCAAGUAGGUACACUCAUUGGACAAUGGCUGUCUCUUUUUAAGACUUGUCAGGAAGCAGUGGACAGCACGGCCACUGUCCUAUGCCAUUCAGUUUUAAGGGAAGGGACUCUGUCCAUGGACCAGAAAGUACAGGAAGCAGAACCCGGCAGCUAUGUGGGAGAUGUGGGCUCUGAUCAGGGAGACUGAUCUCCAAUGUCUCCAUGGCAAGUCUGGGAUGGGGAAUUCAGAAUCAGAGGACUACGACCUCUCCCACCAUCUUUCAUUUCCUUGCUGUUUACCUGGACCUGCCUUGAUAAGGCUGAAUCUUCUCUCUUUCAUCUAUGCAAUGGGUGUAGGCUGAAGAAGCAGCCCUUUGCUGGGACAUCGUGAGUGGGAUGGGAGAGGACACGGAUGGAGGAGUCACGCAAUAGCCCGUAAAGCUUCGGCACAGAAGCAGCGCAUGUCGCCUCCACUCGCAUUUCACUGGCCAAAGUGGGUCAGGUGGCCAGAUGGAAACACAGUCGCGUGGGAAGAGUAUAAUCUUCUGUGUUGGGAGACCCACUGAGGAGUAGCAGGUGCCCAGGAAGCUGGAAGAAGGACUAUAAUGCUGCUGCAGAAAAAUCUCACAUUUCCACCGCGCAGCUUGCCAGAAUGAAACUUCCAAAGGGGGCAGGAAGCAGCCUCUGCCUCAUUUCUGCCUUCCCAAACUCAUGCAAAUCCUUACAAUCAGUGAGACCUAAUUUACAUGCAAAACUGAGAGAGCUCCGCAGGAAUCUGAGCAACAGUUUCCAGCUUUGCAGCCUAGAGGUUGAGCAAGCCAGUCCAUAGCCAAACACCCUGCAUGAGAUUGUUGUGAAGAUUAAAUAAAAAUAAUUUAUGCAGGUGCCUGGUACAGAGUGUAAUGCAAUCAGUAUGGUUAUUUAUUAUUGUUUAUUAAGAGCAAAUCGU